rfam:Stegodyphus mimosarum contig76753, whole genome shotgun sequence.
CCACCGGCUUUUCCUAAAGCCAUAUUGAUAAUCUGAUAAGACAUUU